rnacentral:rRNA from 1 species
CGGACGGGUGAGUAAUGUCUGGGAAACUGCCUGAUGGAGGGGGAGUAACUACUGGAAACGGUAGCUAAUACCGCAUAAUGUCGCAAGACCAAAGAGGGGGACCUUCGGGCCUCUUGCCAUCGGAUGUGCCCAGAUGGGAUUAGCUAGUAGGUGGGGUAACGGCUCACCUAGGCGACGAUCCCUAGCUGGUCUGAGAGGAUGACCAGCCACACUGGAACUGAGACACGGUCCAGACUCCUACGGGAGGCAGCAUG